rnacentral:rRNA from 1 species
GACGGAGGAUGCAAGCGUUAUCCGGAAUGAUUGGGCGUAAAGCGUCCGCAGGUGGCACUUCAAGUCUGUCGUCAAAGACUGGGGCUUAACCCUGGAAAGGCGGUGGAAACUGAAGCGCUAGAGUGCGGUAGGGGUAGAGGGAAUUCCCGGUGCAGCGGUGAAAUGCGUAGAGAUCGGGAAGAACAUCGGUGGCGAAAGCGCUCUACUGGACCGCAACUGACACUCAGGGACGAAAGCUAGGGGAGCGAAUGGG